rnacentral:rRNA from 1 species
AACGAACGCUGGCGGCAGGCCUAACACAUGCAAGUCGAGCGAGACCUUCGGGUCUAGCGGCGGACGGGUUAGUAACGCGUGGGAACGUGCCCUUCUCUGCGGAAUAGCCACUGGAAACGGUGAGUAAUACCGCAUACGCCCUUCGGGGGAAAGAUUUAUCGGAGAAGGAUCGGCCCGCGUUAGAUUAGAUAGUUGGUGGGGUAAUGGCCUACCAAGUCUACGAUCUAUAGCUGGUUUUAGAGGAUGAUCAGCAACACUGGGACUGAGACACGGCCCAGACUCCUACGGGAGGCAGCAGUGGGGAAUCUUAGACAAUGGGCGCAAGCCUGAUCUAGCCAUGCCGCGUGUGUGAUGAAGGUCUUAGGAUCGUAAAGCACUUUCGCCAGGGAUGAUAAUGACAGUACCUGGUAAAGAAACCCCGGCUAACUCCGUGCCAGCAGCCGCGGUAAUACGGAGGGGGUUAGCGUUGUUCGGAAUUACUGGGCGUAAAGCGUACGUAGGCGGAUCAGAAAGUUGGGGGUGAAAUCCCGGGGCUCAACCCCGGAACUGCCUCCAAAACUCCUGGUCUUGAGUUCGAGAGAGGUGAGUGGAAUUCCAAGUGUAGAGGUGAAAUUCGUAGAUAUUUGGAGGAACACCAGUGGCGAAGGCGGCUCACUGGCUCGAUACUGACGCUGAGGUACGAAAGUGUGGGGAGCAAACAGGAUUAGAUACCCUGGUAGUCCACACCGUAAACGAUGAAUGCCAGUCGUCGGGCAGUAUACUGUUCGGUGACACACCUAACGGAUUAAGCAU